rnacentral:tRNA from 1 species
GCCCGGAUGGCGGAAUUGGUAGACGCGCUACCUUGAGGGGGUAGUGUUCGAAUGGACGUGCAGGUUCGAGUCCUGUUCCGGGCA